AGUGAACGCUGGCGGUAGGCCUAACACAUGCAAGUCGAACGGCAGCACAGUAAGAGCUUGCUCUUACGGGUGGCGAGUGGCGGACGGGUGAGGAAUACAUCGGAAUCUACUUUUUCGUGGGGGAUAACGUAGGGAAACUUACGCUAAUACCGCAUACGACCUACGGGUGAAAGCAGGGGAUCUUCGGACCUUGCGCGAUUGAAUGAGCCGAUGUCGGAUUAGCUAGUUGGCGGGGUAAAGGCCCACCAAGGCGACGAUCCGUAGCUGGUCUGAGAGGAUGAUCAGCCACACUGGAGAUGAGACACGGUGCAGACUCAUACGGGAGGCAGCAGUGGGGAAUAUUGGAGAAUGGGCGCAAGCCGGAUCCAGCCAUACCGCGUGAGUGAAGAAGGCCUUCGGGUUGUAAAGCCCUUUUGUUGGGAAAGAAAAGCAGCAGGUUAAUACCCCGCUGUUCUGACGGUACCCAAAGAAUAAGCACCGGCUAACUUCGUG
rnacentral:rRNA from 1 species